rnacentral:rRNA from 1 species
GACAGAGGGUGCUAGCGUUGUUCGGAAUUACUGGGCGUAAAGGGCGCGUAGGCGGUCUGUUAAGUUCGGUGUGAAAUCCCCUGGCUCAACUGGGGAACUGCGUCCGAUACUGGAUGGCUUGGAUUUGGGAGAGGGAUGCGGAAUUCCAGGUGUAGCGGUGAAAUGCGUAGAUAUCUGGAGGAACACCGGUGGCGAAGGCGGCAUCCUGGACCAAUAUUGACGCUGAGGAGCGAAAGCCAGGGGAGCAAACGGG